UUUCAAUUGGAUGAAAGCGUCACCCGUACAUGUGAAACGAUGUUUUCAGAUAGAUGUAUCCUUUUUCUCCCUCAGCUCCUUAGAGCUCAGAAACCUGAAGCUAAACAUGAGAUUUAGCAUGAACAUUGUGCACAGUGAGAACACAGGGAGUGGCCUUUAUCUGAGGAGAACAAAAGAUGGAGUUGGGUCUGGUUCAUCGCCGGUGGCUUUGCAGAUAGUAUAUACUGUGUUACAUCUGUUUUCCAAGUCAGAGAUGAUAGUUGGAUUCGAGAUGAGAGUGCUAGUAGCAUUUCUCCUGGCGGCACUGAGCUGCAGUCCGGCUGGAGCUCGAACUGUGUCGAAAUGUGAACUGAGGAGUCGACUGAUGCAAACACUGGCCAACCUGCCGGAGAAGGCAAAGCAGUCAGGACUGACUGAAGAGAAGAUUGCGGCCAAGAUCGUCCGGUAUGCAGAGCGGGUGUCACAUUUUAACACCAAUGAGGUACAUGAGCUGGGAGACCUUCACAGUCGGGAGAAGAGGGAUGUUCCCAGUAGAGGCUUGUUCAGCAUGGCUGAGGAUGACCGCCGUUUGAGGACUGCCCAGCCCCACACCAGAGAACAACAACAUGCAAGGCCACCUCCAUCACAGAAUCACACCACAUCCCACCCCCACAUUCCAUGGAGUGAGGAGGGGGACAAUGACGUCUGUAAGCUCUAUGGCCUUUUCCAGCUCUGCAGUCACCUGGUCUGCAGCGACGGCUCGACUCCAUCACACAACAUCUGUGAGAUGGACUGCAUCAAGAAAACGGCUUCAGUGCACCCAACUUUAAGGAGUCAGGACGAGUGAUCAGACUCAUUUUGCAGGAGGAGCACAAAGAUAAGACAACCUCCAAUUACUUUGCAGAUUGCUCAUGAAAAAGUAAUUUUGUGCCUUAUCUGUCUUAUCUGUCAUUGGAACGAUGAUUCUCCUGUCUAAUGAGCUGGUGUUUAUGACAAUAACAUAAUAAAACAUGUUUUACCAAAUGUUAAAGUGAUUGUUUGUACAGUCAGUUGGUCUUUCAGUCUUUUGGAAAUGAAACAUGAAUGAAUAACAUAUUACAGGUAAAUACAGGUCCCACGGUAGGAACUGACUGCAACAAGUCAGCACACCUUUUAUUGAUGACUUUCAAAAAUACUUCAUAUACCCACCUUUAUUUUUGAAGGCAGACUCAGCCCUCGACAUUAUGGAGGGUACCAUAUUUCUGCAGAGAUGUUUUUGCCACCCUUUUUUUUUCAGCUUCUCUUUGCUGGAGAGGUUUUGCUGCACAGCUUUCUUUAUUAAAACCUGUCCUGUUGGUUUCCAGUCAGAUGGCAUACACAACACAGUUUUCAGUACCUCCUGCUGUAGACAAAGGGUUUUGUAUGCAUUACACAACAGCUUACAUGUGAGUUGCUAUAGAACUGAAAAUGAUGUUGAUGCAUUUGAUCCAGUAAAACAAAGCCUGACACCUGAAGCAGGUCAGUCUGAAACAAUGGGAAGCCAAAACAUUAUGUAACACGAACACUGGCUUUAUUGAAAGGAUCAUCUAACUUUGAGCAUGUUACUGUAGUGACAACAUGUGAAGAAAUGAUUUGAUUGUAUGGCUAGAUCACCACCACUGUACUAUACACACGAUGAUUUCUGUAAUUACAGUCACAGAUAUAAGGGACAGUAGUGGAUGUGUGGUAG
ensembl:lncRNA